rnacentral:rRNA from 1 species
CGAGCUGGCACCUUCUGGGCGAAAGGGAAUCCGGUUCCUAUUCCGGAACCCGGCAGCGGAACCGCUCCAAUUCGGGCCCUCAUCCGAGGACUCGUCGGGGUGACCCGAAAUGACCCGGAGAAGCCGUAGGGAGGUCCGGGGAGAGUUGUCUCUUCUCUAUAAGCGUUCGAGUUCCCUGGAAGCCUCUAGGAGGGAGAUAGGGUUUGGAACGCGAAGAGCACCGCACUUACGGCGGUGUCCGGAUCUUCCCCUCGGACCUUGAAAAUCCGGGCGAGGGCCACGAGGAACACCGCGCCGGCUCGUACCCAUAUCCGCAGCAGGUCUCCAAGGUGAAUAGCCUCUAGUCGAUAGGAUAAUGUAGGUAAGGGAAGUCGGCAAACCCGAUCUGUAACUUCGGGAUAAGGAUUGGCUCUGAGGAUCGUGGCGCGCCGGGCUUGGUCGGGAAGUGGAGCGGUGCCAACGUGCCGGGCCUGGGCGAGGUGAAGGUCGCUCGUCGGCUGGACCCUAGCUCGGUCCCGUGCCUUGGCCACCCACGGACCUUCCUUGCUGCGAGCCUCCCGGCUGUCUAGUUUCCGGCCCAGCCGGAGGACGGGCCGGAAGGCUCUUCGGCCGCCAUAGAACGAUCAACUUAGAACUGGCACGGACCAGGGGAAUCC